GACGGACGCUGGCGGCGUGCUUAACACAUGCAAGUCGAACGGAAAGGCCCUGCUUUUGUGGGGUGCUCGAGUGGCGAACGGGUGAGUAACACGUGAGUAACCUGCCCUUGACUUUGGGAUAACUUCAGGAAACUGGGGCUAAUACCGGAUAGGAGCUCCUGCUGCAUGGUGGGGGUUGGAAAGUUUCGGCGGUUGGGGAUGGACUCGCGGCUUAUCAGCUUGUUGGUGGGGUAGUGGCUUACCAAGGCUUUGACGGGUAGCCGGCCUGGGAGGGUGACCGGCCACAUUGGGACUGAGAUACGGCCCAGACUCCUACGGGAGGCAGCAGAGGGGAAUAUUGCACAAUGGGCGGAAGCCUGAUGCAGCAACGCCGCGUGCGGGAUGACGGCCUUCGGGUUGUAAACCGCUUUCGCCUGUGACGAAGCGUGAGUGACGGUAAUGGGUAAAGAAGCACCGGCUAACUACGUG
rnacentral:rRNA from 1 species